rnacentral:rRNA from 1 species
AACGAACGCUGGCGGCAGGCUUAACACAUACAAGUCGAACGAGAUCUUCGGAUCUAGUGGCAGACGGGUGAGGAACACGUGGGAACAUCCCUUUCAGUUCGGAAUAACGUUGGGAAACUAACGCUAAUACCGGAUACGUCCUUCGGGAGAAAGAUUUAUCGCUGAAAGAUUGGCCCGCGUCUGAUUAGCUAGUUGGUGAGGUAAUGGCUCACCAAGGCUACGAUCAGUAGCUGAUCUGAGAGGAUGAUCAGCCACAUUGGGACUGAGACACUGCCCAAACUCCUACGGGAGGCAGCAGUGGGGAAUAUUGGACAAUGGGCGCAAGCCUGGUCCAGCCAUGCCGCGUGAGUGAUGAAGGCCUUCGAGUUGUAAAGAUCUUUUAUCCGGGAAGAUAAUGACUGUACCGGAAGAAUAAGCCCCGGCAAACUUCGUGCCAGCCGCCGCGGUAA